rnacentral:rRNA from 1 species
GAUGAACGCUGACGGCGUGCCUAAUACAUGCAAGUCGAGCGAACGGACGAGAAGCUUGCUUCUCUGAUGUUAGCGGCGGACGGGUGAGUAACACGUGGAUCACCUACCUAUAAGACUGGGAUAACUUCGGGAAACCGGAGCUAAUACCGGAUCAUAUUUUGAACCGCAUGGUUCAAAAGUGAAAGACGGUCUUGCUGUCACUUAUAGAUGGAUCCGCGCUGCAUUAGCUAGUUGGUAAGGUAACGGCUUACCAAGGCAACGAUGCAUAGCCGACCUGAGAGGGUGAUCGGCCACACUGGAACUGAGACACGGUCCAGACUCCUACGGGAGGCAGCAGUAGGGAAUCUUCCGCAAUGGGCGAAAGCCUGACGGAGCAACGCCGCGUGAGUGAUGAAGGUCUUCGGAUCGUAAAACUCUGUUAUUAGGGAAGAACAUAUGUGUAAGUAACUGUGCACAUCUUGACGGUACCUAAUCAGAAAGCCACGGCUAACUACGUG